GCCGUGGCUCACUGGUAGAGCCUCUGCUUUACAUGUAGAAAGUCCCAGGUUCAGUUCCCGCUGGCAUGUCCA